rnacentral:lncRNA from 1 species
GCACGGAUAGGAGAACAGACCAACAGGCAUUGGUGAUAGAUCUCAGCAUUGGAGAGAAUUACAAAGGAUACCAGUGAUUUGUAAUGACUGAAGGUUCUCAAUUAGGCUAAAACUUGAGAUCAUAUGGGUUUGGGCUGAUGGGUUUGGCCCUAACUUAACUUUAAUAGGUGGCUUCAAAAUUUGGAUAAAAAAAACCCAUGCUGCCCUACC